rnacentral:tRNA from 1 species
GCGUCCGUAGCUCAGUUGGUUAGAGCACCACCUUGUCAUGGUGGGGGUCGGUGGUUCGAGUCCACUCGGACGCACCA